UUGAAGGAAGUUUUCGGAUGGAAUUUGAGUAUUUUAGCGGCGGACGGGUGAGUAACGCGUGAGUGACCUGCCUUCCACAGGGGGGAUAACGUACCGAAAGGUACACUAAUACCGCAUGAGACCACAGCACUGCCUGGUGCAGGGGUCAAAGGAGCAAUCCGGUGGAAGAUGGACUCGCGUCCGAUUAGAUAGUUGGUGGGGUAACGGCCUACCAAGUCAGCGAUCGGUAGCCGACCUGAGAGGGUGAUCGGCCACAUUGGAACUGAGAGACGGUCCAAACUCCUACGGGAGGCAGCAGUGGGGAAUAUUGGGCAAUGGGGGAAACCCUGACCCAGCGACGCCGCGUGAGGGAAGAAGGUUUUCGGAUUGUAAACCUCUGUUCUUGGUGAAGAGGGAAAGACGGUAGCCAAGGAGGAAGCCCCGGCUAACUACGUGCCAGCAGCCGCGGUAAUACGUAGGGGGCGAGCGUUGUCCGGAGUGAUUGGGCGUAAAGGGCGCGUAGGCGGCUGUUUAAGUCUGGAGUGGAAGUCCUAUUUUUAAGGUAGGAAUUGCUUUGGAAACUGAGCAGCUUGAGUGCAGGAGAGGUCAUCGGAAUUCCCGGUGUAGCGGUGAAAUGCGUAGAGAUCGGGAGGAACACCAGUGGCGAAGGCGGGUGACUGGACUGCAACUGACGCUGAGGCGCGAAAGUGUGGGGAGCAAACAGGAUUAGAUACCCUGGUAGUCCACACUGUAAACGAUGAAUGCUAGGUGUAGGGGGUAUCGACCCCUUCUGUGCCGCAGUCAACACAAUAAGCAUUCCGCCUGGGGAGUACGGUCGCAAGAUUAAAACUCAAAUGAAUUGACGG
rnacentral:rRNA from 1 species